rfam:Cladophialophora immunda strain CBS 83496 unplaced genomic scaffold supercont1.2, whole genome shotgun sequence.
GACACUAUGGCCGAGCGGUUAAGGCGUGUGACUAGAAUUUAUUCUGGGUUAUCACAUCUCUUCGGAGGCACAGGUUCAAAUCCUGUUGGUGUCG